CAAGAAACGAGGCCGCGUGCGCUCGCCUGCCCGGCCCCGCUCCUUACCUUGCCUACUGCACCGUUUGUUGCUUCCUGGCGGCGGACUGCCCGCCGCCAGGGACGUUGAUACAACCCUGUAUAGAAGCAUUGAAGCUCUGAGAAAAUGCGAAAUCGUA
rnacentral:misc_RNA from 1 species